UAUGGCCGCAUCACAUUUGAAACGCUGUUUUUCCAGCAUGAUCACUAAAGUUAAGCAACAUCGAGCUUGGUUAGUAUCUAGAUGGGUGACCAUUUGGGAACACCAGAUGCUGUAA